CGUACUAAGAGCUUUCCUUUACGUACACCUAAGUAAAUAUUAGGAUACCACAGUUGUGCAUUGAGUAAGACCUUGUUUAAUUCAGUCCAAGGUUGGAAGCAUCAGUUUAGCUGGGCCGGGGGCAAAAUUACAAGAACCUUAGUUAAUCAGGGGUUCAGUCUGGAGAACAAACUACACCAUCUGGAUUGGGUUUUCCUGCAACUAUUCUCAAGUUACCAAAGACUAAUUAACCUAUAGCUCCACUGCAACCUAAAACACUGCUGUCUUGGGACCCCUUGCACACACCAUGGUAGGCAAAGCUAAAGCGCUAGAAUGACUCCAGGUGCCUCAGCUGUCUCAGAUGCUGUGUUAACUCUGGAGCAACAUCUAUAGAGUCUGUUUAAGAAAUAAAGCAUUAAUUCUUUGCCUUGCCAUAGAAUGGAUCUACACAGAGUCUGGGAAAUACCUGCAAAAAUGGAUCAACCUAAGACAAGUCAGUUGAAUCCCAUCCUGAAGCACCAUAAGGAAUGUCACUACAUACAGCCUUCAAGUUCUCUCCUUCAGACCAUGAAAUUUUUUCUGCUCUUCCUUGAGCAGCAAGAGAAGACAGGAUGGGACCUCCAUGAUAGAAAACACAAUGGUAAAUUCAUAGAAUUAAACCCAGGAAAGACCACCUAGAAACCUGGGAGACAGUCAUGAAAUUCCAAGAAACACUGAAAAGGGGCAGAAAUAAAUGCAAGGAAUGGAACACUAGAAUUUUAUGAACAACAUGAUUUUUGCCAAAGAGAUCCUGCCAUUCACAUCUGCUAAGUGAAAGGCUCAAAUUGCUUAUCAGUUCCAAUAAUCCACAGAGGCUAUCCUGAGCUUCAACAGCUCAGAGUGUUUUCUGUAAACUGGCAGGGAACUGCGAAGAUGCCUCAUUUAAGGACCUGUGUAACUGGACCUUGCAGUCCCCACUGCUACGCAGUGUCCCAGACACAGGAAACAAGGGACUUGUGAACCUCAUGAACCUUUCUAAGUCAGUAGUGCAGAAAUUGCUCCUUCAACAAGGAAACUGAAAUACGGAUGGAGAGAAGAACUGGGUAUAGUUCAGCAAUUUGGUGAACAACAUUAAAGUAGAAAGAGAAAUAAAGAAUUAUUUUAAUUUCUAUUUCAAUUUAGAGGACAUGAGUGUUUGUAGAGGAGGAUGGUACCAAAAUAAGAUCUUUCAGAGGGAGUGAACAGAGCAUCUUACUGCCUCAUUUUUACCUGUACAUCCCUGAAUAGAUGUAUUCAUGUACUUUGCUGAGGUCACCUCAUGGGUUUUUGAUCACUAUAAUUACUUUUAAAAAUUUAUAUUUGAAAUGGCUUUUACAUGUCUUCCUUGAGCAUCACGUGAGGUGAAUGACACAAAAGUCAGCCAGGGUCCAUUUUAUUAACUGAUGCAAAGAGAUUAGAUUCUAGAUAUUAAACUUGUAUAACGAUGCUCUGUUUGUGCCCCAGAGAGUUUCUGAGCCCUAUUAUUCCGUGCUGGAAAAAGAGCAGACACUUGAUACUCACUUUUCCUAUUCCAUGGCACUGACUCCCAAAACCAUAAUAAAUUACUGUUUAUACUAAUGGGCGUUUUGUAUAUAUUAUUCUAAAUUAGAUAUAUUUUAAAUUAGAAUUAUUUUAAAUUAGAUAUAAUGUUAGAUAAGAUAUCAAAACACUAAAUACUGGAAAGAAACAACCAUCUGC